rnacentral:lncRNA from 1 species
UAAAAAGGAGUAGAGAUUUGGAAAAAGGUGAAGUUGACCUACGAGUUGGAAAUAGAGCAAAGGUUGUUGCUUUAGCCGUAGGAACUUAUGCAUUGACUUUACUAGUGGUUUAAUAAUUCAGUUAGAGAACUGUUAUUAUGUACCUGCAAUUAGCAGGAAUAUUAUUUCCGUUUCUUGGUUGGAAAAGUUUGGUUUUGCAUUUAUAAUAAAGAAC